UCCGUAGGUGAACCUGCGGAGGGAUCAUUACACAAUGCUCGUCGCUGUAUGACUGCCAUCGGGGUUACAGCCUUGCUGAAUUAUUCACCCUUGUCUUUUGCGUACAUGCUCGCUGUAGUAUGGGUUCGCCCACCACUAGGACAAAAUGCUGCUCGUAAUAAUUGCAAUCAGCGUCAGUAACAAAUUAUGCUCGUAGAUGCUCAACAACGGAUCUCUUGGUUCUGGUAGGUCUGAAGAACGCAGCGAAAUGCGAUAAGUAAUGCUCAUUGCAGAAUUCAGUGAAUCAUCGAAUAUGCUGCUCAUGCUCGUAGUAGUCAGAUGCUCGAAGGGCAUGCCUGUUCGAGCGUCAUUUGUACCCUCAAGCUUUGCUUGGUGUUGGGCGAUGUAUGCUCGUGAUAGUCGUAGACUCGCCUUAAAGUAAUUGGCAGCAUGCUCGAUGCUCGCGGAGCGCAGCACAAGUCGCACUCUCAUGCUCGUGAGGUCUAGCAUCCAUUAAGCCUUUUAUGCUCGUGUUGACCUCUGGAUGUCCGUAGAUACCCGCUGAACUUAUAGGCUCGUAGAUGCUCGUGAUAGG
rnacentral:rRNA from 1 species